GCAGGAAAAACGGCCUCUUUGGACCCAUGCGAUACACCAGCUGUUUGCCGAUGCCACUUGACCCUUUUAACACCGUCCGUCCAAUUUUAUAUUAUGGCCUGGUGCGCACUAGCUAGCAUCAAUCGCAAGUUACGACUCAAGGGCUAAACACUAUUGGUAAAUAUGUAUAUGGCCUGUACGUACAUUUUUUUAAUACCAUGUAUUUUUUUUUCUCGGUACCAAAUGUAUUUGUUUCACUAAGAUAGAAUUUUGCCCAUAAAACAUUCUAUUGGUAUGUUAUUUUCUAUAUAUGGUACAAGAUCACAAUUAUCAGUAAAUAGUUUUGAAGAUGAAUUUAAUGAUACAAGUUUUUUUUAGAUCAAAAUUAUGAUACAAGUUUUAUUGUCAUAACAACAAGGGAACAAAGUAGUUUUUCUUUAAAAUUUAAUAAGUCAUGUAUUGAGAAAAUGACGAAGCAUAAGGUAGGUUCAGUCAAAGAUGUAAGGGCAUCUCAAGGGAACCUUCAAAUCCUCCUCAUUUGUCCAAAUCUGUUCAUAUGAGGGUCCAAAAGCAAAAUACACAAUCCAAUGAAAACCCUCAUUUGUCCAAAAGUGGUCCACACUCCCCAUUUCUUUUCCAAAUUUGUGCAAAACUCAUUCAAAUCUUGUCCACUUGUCUUUUUUGUCCAUAUGUCAAAGAUUCAUAAAAAGAUAAAUAAAACGUUACCAUUAGACUAUUUGAUAUUUUUCACACCUUCAUUUGUCUAAAACCUCU
rnacentral:lncRNA from 1 species